CACGUAGGGCGCAAGCGUUGUCCGGAAUUAUUGGGCGUAAAGAGCUCGUAGGCGGUUUGUCGCGUCGAAUGUGAAAACCCGGGGCUCAACCCCGGGCCUGCAUUCGAUACGGGCAGACUAGAGUUCGGUAGGGGAGUCUGGAAUUCCUGGUGUAGCGGUGAAAUGCGCGAUAUCAGGAGGAACACCGAUGGCGAAGGCAGGUCUCUGG
rnacentral:rRNA from 1 species